rnacentral:rRNA from 1 species
GGGUCUUGGGAUAUUUGGGAUUAAAUGUCCUUUGGGUUUGAAUAGUAUUGGGUUGGGUGACCUCUUGAGAAGUCCAAAUUCAAGAGUUU